rnacentral:rRNA from 1 species
GUGGGGAAUCUUGCGCAAUGGGCGAAAGCCUGACGCAGCCAUGCCGCGUGAAUGAUGAAGGUCUUAGGAUUGUAAAAUUCUUUCACCGGGGACGAUAAUGACGGUACCCGGAGAAGAAGCUCCGGCUAACUUCGUGCCAGCAGCCGCGGUAAUACGAAGGGGGCUAGCGUUGCUCGGAAUUACUGGGCGUAAAGGGCGCGUAGGCGGCCAGCUUAGUCAGAGGUGAAAGCCCAGGGCUCAACCUUGGAAUUGCCUUUGAUACUGGCUGUCUUGAGUUUGGGAGAGGUGAGUGGAACUCCGAGUGUAGAGGUGAAAUUCGUAGAUAUUCGGAAGAACACCAGUGGCGAAGGCGACUCACUGGCCCAAUACUGACGCUGAGGCGCGAAAGCGUGGGGAGCAAACAGGAUUAGAAACCCCAGUAGUCC